rnacentral:rRNA from 1 species
AUCGAACGCUGGCGGCAGGCCUAACACAUGCAAGUCGAACGAGUGGCGGACGGGUGAGUAAUGUCUGGGAAACUGCCUGAUGGAGGGGGAUAACUACUGGAAACGGUAGCUAAUACCGCAUACCAUCAGAUGUGCCCAGAUGGGAGUUGCUAGUUGGUGGGGUAACGGCACACAAAGGCGACUAUCCCUAGCUGGUCUGAGAGGAAGACCAGCCACACUGGAACGGAGCCACGGUCCAGACUCCUACGGGAGGCAGCAGUGGGGAAUAUUGCACAAUGGGCGAAAGCCGGAUGCAGCCAUGCCGCGUGUAUGAAGAAGGCCUUCGGGUUGUAAAGUACUUUCAGCGGGGAGGCGUUACCCGCAGAAGAAGCACCGGCUAACUCCGUGCCAGCCGCCGCGGUAAUAC